UACGGGUGGUGCAAGUGUUACUCUUCAUCAUUGGGCGUAAAGGGUGCGUAGGCGGUAUAUUAAGUUUUAGAUAAGAUCAUAACGUGAAGGCAUUAUGCGAUUUAUUAUACUAUUAUACUUGAGUAUUCUAGAAGAUAGUGGAAACUUUAAUAAAGAUUUGAAAUGCGUUGGCAUAUUAAAGGGAACACCAAAAGCGAAGGCAACUAUCUAUAAAAAUACUGACGCUGAGGCACGAAAGCAUAGGUAUCAAACAGG
rnacentral:rRNA from 1 species